rnacentral:rRNA from 1 species
AUUGAACGCUGGCGGCAGGCCUAACACAUGCAAGUCGAACGGUAACAGGAAACCGCUUGCUGUUUCGCUGACGAGUGGCGGACGGGUGAGUCAUGUCUGGGAAACUGCCUGAUGGAGGGGGAUAACUACUGGAAACGGUAGUUAAUACCGCAUAACGUCGCAAGACCAAAGAGGGGGACCUUCGGGCCUCUUGCCAUCGGCUGUGCCCCGAUGGGAAUAGCUAGUAGGUGGGGUAACGGCUCACCUAGGCGACGCUCCCUAGCUGGUCUGAGAGGGUGACCAGGCAAACUGGGAAUGGGGCACGGGCCAAGCUCCUUCGGGGAGCAGGAAGUGGGAAUAUUGCACAAAUGGGGCAAGCCUGAUGCAACCAUGCCGCGUUGAUUGAGGAGGCCUUCGGGUUGGAAAGUACUUUCAGCGGGGAGGAAGGGAGUAAGGUUAAUACCUUUCCUCAUUGACGUGACCCGCAGAAGAAGCACCGGGUAACUCCGGGC